GAACGUAUAGCUCAGUUGGUUAGAGUAUCCGCUUCACACGCGGGGGGUCGACGGUUCGAGCCCGUCUUCGUUCA